CAGCAGCCACGGGAAUACGUAGGGUGCAAGCGUUAAUCGGAAUUACUGGGCGUAAAGCGUGCGCAGGCGGUUAUGUAAGACAGAGGUGAAAUCCCCGGGCUCAACCUGGGUACUGCCUUUGUGACUGCAAGGCUGGAGUGCGGCAGAGGGGGAUGGAAUUCCGCGUGUAGCAGUGAAAUGCGUAGAUAUGCGGAGGAACACCGAUGGCGAAGGCAAUCCCCUGGGCCUGCACUGACGCUCAUGCACGAAAGCGUGGGGAGCAAACAGGAUUAGAUACCCGCGUAGUCCCUGUCUCUUAUAC
rnacentral:rRNA from 1 species